rnacentral:sRNA from 1 species
UUUGCGUUAGCGAUGGAAGCGGCAUCCUUUUGCUGACGAAAGGAAGCAAAAGAUAGAGCGGACAGCGCGGUGGCGG